UACAGAGGGGGCAAGCGUUGUUCGGAAUUACUGGGCGUAAAGGGCGCGUAGGCGCCUUCUAAGUCGAACGUGAAAUCCCUGGGCUCAACCCAGGAACUGCGUCCGAUACUGGAAGGCUUGAAUCCGGGAGAGGGAUGCGGAAUUCCAGGUGUAGCGGUGAAAUGCGUAGAUAUCUGGAGGAACACCGGUGGCGAAGGCGGCAUCCUGGACCGGCAUUGACGCUGAGGCGCGAAAGCCAGGGGAGCAAACGG
rnacentral:rRNA from 1 species